GGUUUAGUCCGCAACGAGCGCAACCCCUACUGCCAGUUACUAACAGGUGAAGCUGAGGACUCUGGCGGAACUGCCGGUGACAAACCGGAGGAAGGUGGGGAUGACGUCAAGUCAUCAUGGCCCUUAUGUCCAGGGCUACACACGUGCUACAAUGGUCGGUACAAAGCGAAGCGGAACCGUGAGGGUAGAGCAAAGCGCAAAAAGCCGAUCGUAGUUCGGAUUGAAGUCUGAAACCCGACUUCAUGAAGUUGGAAUCGCUAGUAAUCGUACAUCAGCAUGGUACGGUGAAUACGUUCCCGGGCCUUGUACACACCGCCCGUCACACCAUCCGAGUUGGAGGUACCCGAAGCUGGUAGGCUAACCGAAAGGGGGCCGCUAUCUAAGGUACGUUUAGUGAGGAGGGUGAAGUCGUAACAAGGUAGCCGUACUGGAAAGUGCGGCUGGAUCACCUCCUUUCU
rnacentral:rRNA from 2 species